UGCCUGAAGAGACUGUGACACACUU
rnacentral:piRNA from 1 species